rnacentral:lncRNA from 1 species
CCCAAUGGCACCCUUGCUAAACAUUUAUUUCACUGUAUGGAUUUAAUUAAUUGUGCUUUUUGAUUCAUUUGGGGCAAUUAUGGGUUUUAAGUUGAAAUUAUUUUGACUGAAUUUUAUUUGGUUCUAACCAAACUAACUAAUGAUAUAAGCAGCAGAGUUUAAGGCAAUGCAAGCCCAGGCUGAAACUGCAAGCUUAAUUUUUGUUGUGUAUGUUAUUGCAACUUGCUGUUUCUUUUGAGUUUUCUUUACUUUGUUUAGGACUUGUUUGACUACCUGAUGGCUCCAACCUACUUUGUUUAAGUUUUACUCGAAUUAUGAGCUGCAAUUCUUAUAAACUGUUGCAUUUUCUUCUAAUGAAUUUAAGGGAGGCAUACCUGUUGAGUUGGGGAGAAUUAUCAAUCUUGAUACACUGUACUUAAAUCUCAGCAGCAGAAGUUUCUACCUGGUCUUUCAGAUACUAUUAAGUACUUAAAUCUUUGGGCUUGUUGUGAUUACCCACUAUUGCUAUCUAGUUUAUCUUACUUGUAUCUUCUAUCUUUGGUAAUUGGUUAAUUGAGUUUCAGAUGCAUUAUUAUGUGUUUCAAUGCUACAGACACUGUCAAACUGCAAAAUUAAAGUUUCUAUAUAUUGAAUUGUUGCAAAUAAAUCUGAAUUUGGUCGAAUGGCAAUGGCUCAACAAAGAAUGCUGCAAAAUGCUUCUAUACCAGGUUCUGGUACUGUUGGAUUGGCUGAUGCAAAUGCAAGAGUAGCAAGUAAUGGCGGGGGUUCAUUAGCCUCUGACAAUCAGGUUCACCAAGGAAGUCAAUCAAGUGGUGC